rnacentral:lncRNA from 1 species
AAGUAUUCUAAUAUGCUUUAAUCACAGUGUACACAUCCUUUCUAUCAGUGGGAUCGCUCUUUAAUCUCAGCGCCUUCGAUGAACCAUAAUAGUUUCCUCGCAAUUGCCUCUUAUUUCUUGACAGCAUUUUUCGGGGCCCAGAUGAAUUCUUUCAUCCAUGUGAUCAUGUACUCCUACUAUGGGCUGACUGCAUUCGGCCCCUGGAUCCAGAAAUACCUUUGGUGGAAGCGGUACCUGACCAUGCUGCAGCUGGUGCGUCAAAUGUUUUCAUUGAAAAGUUACUUCCGGUUGUUGGCAGAAAAAAAAUCAAAAUACUAAAAAUAUGUGGUAUUAAUUAUUUGUAACGUGCCAAGUUGUUUUAGGUGGUUCUCCAUCACAAAAUUAAGUUUAUAAGCAAGGUAC